rnacentral:snRNA from 1 species
AGCUUUGCGCAGUGGCAGUAUCGUAGCCAAUGAGGUUUAUCCGAGGCGCGAUUAUUGCUAAUUGGAACUUGGGAACAUCUGCAGACAAAAGUGUGCCCCAAACAGCAGCCUGUGUCAGUCUUAAUCACUAUGGGAAUGAUACUAUU